rnacentral:rRNA from 1 species
UCGGCAAUGGGCGAAAGCCUGACCGAGCGACGCCGCGUGUGCGAUGAAGGCCUUUUGGUUGUAAAGCACUGUCGAAGGGGAGCAAGCCGCAAGGUUGAGAGUACCCUUGGAGGAAGCACGGGCUAAGUUCGUGCCAGCAGCCGCGGUAAGACGAACCGUGCGAACGUUAUUCGGAAUCACUGGGCUUAAAGGGUGCGUAGGCGGGUGGACAAGUCGAGGGUGAAAGCCUCUAGCUUAACUAGAGAAGUGCCCUCGAUACUGUUUGUCUUGAGAGAGAUAGGGGCACACGGAACUUCCGGUGGAGCGGUGAAAUGCGUAGAUAUCGGAAGGAACGCCGGUGGCGAAAGCGGUGUGCUGGAUCUUUUCUGACGCUGAGGCACGAAAGCUAGGGUAGCGAACGGGAUUAGAUACCCCGGUAGUCCUAGCCCUAAACGAUGAGUACUCGUUUGGAGCGACUGCGGUCGCUGCAGACUUAGAGAAAUCGUUAAGUACUCCGCCUGGGGAGUAUGGUCGCAAGGCUGAAACUCAAAGGA